CGGCGGUCAUGGCCCAGGGGAGACGCCCGGCACCCAUUCCGAACCCGGAAGCUAAGACCUGGCACGGCGAUGGUACUGCACUCGACAGGGUGUGGGAGAGUAGCACACCACCGCAAUU
rnacentral:rRNA from 1 species